UCUUACUCCAGGUUUGUCCACACUCAGUUCUACCUUCCACAAGAGGUCUGCACUCUCCUCAGGUUCUCUCCAUUUGGGAUGCCUGCCUUUGCUCUGCCAGCUCUUCACAUCCCAUCCAGGUCAACUCUUACCUCUUCUCUAGCUUUUCAUCCUAAGCUCAUUGCUCCCUUUUUCUGAAUUAUCUUCAUUGUUAAUUGGUUGUGAGGCACAAAUAAAUCAUUUUGCCUUUCAAGCAUACAUUUUUACGAAGAGGGUAUUUGAAGAGGUACAGAUGCUUCCACCACUGAUAGUAAUCAUUCUGUUCUAGGAGGUUCUAGAAUGUUCUACAUUGUUCUAGCAACCUAUCAAAAACUAGUCACUUGAAUCAAUCCAUAUGCAUAUUUAAGCAGAAUAUAUUGUAUGGUGUUCUGAAGACAAUAUUGAGAGAAAUAUUUAUUUGGACGUACACACUCUGAGUUUUGUUUUUAUCUCAUUACCUUAUGACUCUGACUACUACAUCUCUAAAAUAGGGUAAACUAUUUUUGGUAUUAGGUUUUGCUUGUAUUACUCAAGUUUUUGUUUCCACCCACUGCUAUAGUUAUCUGGACUUGUGUGUGCACCUGGCCAUAGCUACAUCUAUAUAAAUUUUAUUCACGGGUGCACAUUUUGCAUAUACCUUUGUGUAGUUUAAAAAUGUAAGUUAUGUGCUGAUACCCUUCCUUCUCUAUUUUAACUUCUUGGAUAACACUGCCAUUUCACUUUAUCAUUUUAAACCUACUUAACUCUACCCAAUCUGCAGAAAUGUCAACCUAGAGAAUCAGACUUCACAAGCUCAAACUCCCCAGGGAAGAAGGUUGAGACAUUUCUACUCAUAUCUAUAGAUGUAUUAUGCCAAUCAGGAAGGUCUCUCUAAGGGGGGCAGCUCCAAACUGAGACCUUGAUUUACAAAAACGAUGCAGCUACAGGAUAAUCAGGGAAGACCACUCCAGCUGGAGGGAGUUACUGGUGCAAAUGUCAGAGUGCCCAAGCAUGGUAAGUACGGGCAGGAGUAGAAGGAGAGGGAGGCUGGGCCAGCCCAGGCACUGUCCACAGCAGGCUAGGGGAUGGGAUUUUAUUCCAGUGUAGUAGGAGGCCAUUAGAGGAUUUAUAGUUAAAAGUGUUCACCCCAGCUGCCCUAUGAAGAAUAAACUGUGUCCACAUGCAUGUGCAUGUCCAUGUGUGUAUAUGUAAGAGCGGAAGCAGGAGACCAGUAAAUAACUGGGAUGAGAAAGGUGAUGUUUUCAAAUACAAUGAACGUGGUGAUGAACAUGGACAGAAGUAGAUAUUCAGAUGUCAUUCAAGAAUUGGAGGUUUGGCCGGGCACAGUGGCUCACGUCUGUAAUCUCAGCACUUUGGGAGGCUGAGGCGGGCAGAUCACCUGAAGUCAGGAGUUUGAGACCAGCCUGGCCAACAUGGUGAAACCCUGUCUCAACUAAAAAUACAAAAAUUAGCCAGGUGUGGUGGUGGGCACCUGUAAUCCCAGCUACUCAGGAGGAUGAGGCAGGAGAAUGGCGUGAACCUGGGAGGCAGAGGUUGCAGUGAGCUGAGAUCGCACCACUGCACUCCAGCCUGGGUGACAGAGCAGGACUCCAUCUCAAAAAAAAAGAAAAAAAAAGAACUACAGGUUUGUGGAGCAGAGAUUAUCUAGUAUAUCAAAGAUUCCUUAGAUGUGCCCAGGUUUAACACGAAAAGGAAGCCAAAACCCAAGUAGCACAUGGAUAGUUCCUCUACAUCACAGCAUUCCAGAGGCAGGAGGCACCUCACAGUGGGAAGACAGUGAACCUCAUAGGUGAAGUGACUUCUUCAUGGACACACAAUCAAUUGGCUCCACAAUUGAGACUGUCUCCUCAUAUUCUAUCUACCUCACCAAAUUUGGAACCAUUGCUAAUUUGGAAUUUGCUCUUUUGAUCACAUUACAGUUGAUAGUCUAAAGCUGCAGGUUGCUUAUCUCAUGUGUCCUAAGACUGAUUGUGAUGGAAAAGAAGUCAAAUGUUUUGGCUCAGAGAAGGCAUUUUAGCAUUUAGCAUAUUAUUCCACACCCCGUGUCUAUUACUGAUAUAUCUGUGUGCCUGACAACAUAAGAGGAACAAAAGAUGGGGGGUGGGGGCUGUUCUUUUCCAAAUAACAGCUUAAAGGUCUGAAACUAAAUUAUUUAUUGAGGCAAAGGGCUUUGAAACAAGCAAUGGGGUAAGUGAAAUCUUGAGCAUUACACCACAUUUAAUAAAAACAUUCCAAUUUUGCUUGCUUUGCGACUUCAUUGGCUUUCAUAUGAGAAGUUCUUGACUCCCUAAAGAGCUUAGUAUUUGUGUCCCAGUUACCAAGGCCAGGUUGAAAAAAAACCCCAAAGUGCUUCCUGUUGACAAGAGAUGAAUUGUCUGAUUAUUCGAGACAUGUUAGGCCAUAAAUUAUUUUGUAAUGCUUACAGUUCUAGAGCGGCUUAUUUUUUGUUUUUUAUUUUCAUGCUACUGUGUGACAAAUAUGCUGGCCUAGCAAUGACAGCAGCAUUCUAAAGCUAAAUGUAUCAGAACAUUCAGCUCAGUUUUACGGUAUAUGAAAUGAAUUCCAUUUCAGACUCUUAGCUAACAUAAGAUGUUCUUUCCAAGUGUUCUCCCUAUAAUAAGUGCUGUACCCUGGAAUUUCAGACUGCUAUCUUGAGAAUGUGGGAGAGAACCCCUAGAUUUCACCAUAGUUCUGAUAGAGAUGAGCAUCACCUUAGUUGGCACACUCAUUAAACCUUUUCAAUGUCUACUUUUCAUAAUUUUUAUGAGCCCAGGUCUUGUUCUGUCACCCAGGCUGGAGUAUAUUGGCACAAUCAUGGCUCCCUGCAGCCUUAAACUCUUAGGCUCAAGUGAUCCUUCCACCUCAGCCUCCUGAGUCACUGUGACUACAGAUGGAUGUACCGUCAAGCCUGGCUAAAAUUUUGAUUUUUAUUUCCUCCUCCAUAAAAUGAGGAGGGUGUUCAGAUCACACAGUCUAAGAUCCCUUUCCCAAGUCAAAAUACACAGUAACUAUUUUAAGAACUCAUUAAAAAUUGUGUGUGUGUCUGAAAAGACCAAGACCAUAUUAAUGAGAAGUGUAUUUUCCAUCUCUUAGAUUUAAUCUUCUCUUCCCUUAUAUCUCCAAAUAGCCAAGAAGAAGAAAAGUCAUUACUGUAUGAGCAUUAACAUAGGUGGUUCUAAAUCACAUCACAGCUGUCAUUCUUGUUGUGUCAGUCAAGGAAUCUGAUGAAACAUAGAACAAUUUCAGACAGGCCAAGGCCUCCUAUGAGAAAUCCCACUCGUGUGCACUGUGAUCAGGCAUUGCCUUGCUGUGAUAAUAACUCCCCUGGGCCGAGAGCUACAAUAAAAAGAAAACGAAGAUAAAGAAACAGAGGGAAACAGAAACCAUCCAUAAUCCUACUCCUUCAAAGACAGCUACAGUCAAAUUCUCAUGUAACUCCUUCUCUUUUGGCAAGAAUAUUAUACCCUACAAAGGUCUCUGGUGUGGAUUUAAAAUACUACAAGUCACCCAAUAUUACGAAUAAAAGAAAC
rnacentral:lncRNA from 1 species